GACCUCAAAUCAGGUAAGAAUACCCGCUGAACUUAAGCAUAUCAAUAAGCGGAGGAAAAGAAAAUAACAAUGAUUCCCUCAGUAACGGCGAGCGAAGAGGGAUAAGCUCAAAUUUUAAAUCUGUUGGGUUCCACUUAACAGAGUUGUAUUUUGAAGAAACGUUUUCUGCAUCCAGGAUUAGCCUAAAUCCUUUGGGAUAAGGUAUCAUGGAGGGUGAGAAUCCCGUUCAUGGUUAAUCUUAAGGAAGCUCUACGAUACGUUUUCCAAGAGUCGAGUUGUUUGGGAUUGCAGCUCAAAAUGGGAGGUAAAUUUCUCCUAAGGCUAAAUAUUGGCGAGAGACCGAUAGCGAACAAGUACCGUGAGGGAAAGAUGAAAAGAACUUUGAAAAGAGAGUUAAACAGUACGUGAAAUUGUUGAAAGGGAAACGAUUGAAGUCAGUCAUACCAACGGGAAAUCAACCUUUUGAGCUCGGUCUCGUGGGUUUUGAAGAGUUUCAAAGCCUUCGGAUUCGCGGGAUUGGGAUCUCUUGGUGUACUUUUUCGUACGGUUAGUCAACAUCGGUUUUGAAUGUCAUAAAAUGACUGGAGGAAUGUAGCUUCGAUCUCGUAUUGAAGUGUUAUAGCCUUUGGUAGAUGUGAUGUUUGAGACCGAGGAUUGCAACGGAUACCCUUCAGGGCUAUUCGUCUGAUCUCUGAUACGUUGCCUUGAUGUUGAAAGCUUGCUUAUGAUGUUAGGGUAUUACGGUCAAAAGGUUAGAACGGAUUAGAUUCGUUAAGGAUGUUGACGUAAUGACUUUAAACGACCCGUCUUGAAACACGGACCAAGGAGUCUAACAUAUAUGCGAGUGUUUGGGUGAUUAAACCCUUGCGCGUAAUGAAAGUAAUUUUGGUGAGAUCCGGGAAAAAUUUUUCGGAGCAUCAUCGACCGAUCAGGAUAUUU
rnacentral:rRNA from 1 species